GACGAACGCUGGCGGCGUGCUUAACACAUGCAAGUCGAACGGUAAGGCCCUUCGGGGUACACGAGUGGCGAACGGGUGAGUAACACGUGGGUGAUCUGCCCUGCACUUCGGGAUAAGCCUGGGAAACUGGGUCUAAUACCGGAUAGGACCACUGCCUGCAUGGGUGGUGGUGGAAAGCUUUUGCGGUGUGGGAUGGGCCCGCGGCCUAUCAGCUUGUUGGUGGGGUGAUGGCCUACCAAGGCGACGCAGGGUGGCCGGCCUGAGAGGGCGACCGGCGAAGAGGGGACUGAGGUGCGGGUCGGAAUCAUGCGGGAUGCGGGGGUGGUGGAUAUGGCACACCGGGCGCAAGCGUGAUACAGCGACGCCGCGUGCGGGAUGACGGCCUUCGGGUUGUAACCCUCUUUCAGGACGGACGAAGCGCAAGUGACGGUAGGUGCAGAAGAAGGACCGGCCAACUACGUGCCAGCCGCCGCUGUAA
rnacentral:rRNA from 1 species